GACGAACGCUGGCGGCGUGCUUAACACAUGCCAGUCGAACGGAAAGGCCAGUGCUUGCCCUGGUACUCGAGUGGCGAACGGGUGAGUAACACGUGGGUGAUCUGCCUUGCACUCUGGGAUAAGCUUGGGAAACUGGGUCUAAUACCGGAUAUGAACUGCCUUUAGUGUGGUGGUUGGAAAGUUUUUUCGGUGCAAGAUGAGCUCGCGGCCUAUCAGCUUGUUGGUGGGGUAAUGGCCUACCAAGGCGUCGACGGGUAGCCGGCCUGAGAGGGUGUACGGCCACAUUGGGACUGAGAUACGGCCCAGACUCCUACGGGAGGCAGCAGUGGGGAAUAUUGCACAAUGGGCGGAAGCCUGAUGCAGCGACGCCGCGUGGGGGAUGACGGCCUUCGGGUUGUAAACUCCUUUCGACAGGGACGAAGCGUAAGUGACGGUACCUGUAGAAGAAGCACCGGCUAACUACGUG
rnacentral:rRNA from 1 species